CCUACGGGUGGCAGCAGUAGGGGAUAUUCCACAAUGGGGGGAACCCUGAUGCAGCGACGCCGCGUGGGUGAAGGAGUUCUUCGGCAUGUAAAGCCCUAUCGGCAGGGAAGAAGCAAGACGGUACCUGACUAAGAAGCCCCGGCUAAAUACGGGCCGACAGCCGCGGUAAUACGUAGGGGGCGAGCGUUAUCCGGAUCCACGGGGUGGAAAGGGAGCGUAGACGGCCAAGCAAGCCAGGGGUGAAAGCCCGGGGCCCAACCCCGGGACCGCCCUUGGAACUGGAUGGCUAGAGUGAGGGAGGGGCAGGCGGAAUUCCAGGUGUAGCGGUGAAAUGCGUAGAUAUCAGGAGGAACACCGACGGCGAAGGCGGCCUGCUGGACCGCGACUGACGUUGAGGCUCGAAAGCGUGGGGAGCGAACAGGAUUAGAUACCCGAGUAGUC
rnacentral:rRNA from 1 species